GAGGGAGGAAGACAUGAAGAGAGAGACGCGGAGAGACAGACAGAUGGAGAAGCAUGCAGCCCGGAGAGGAGGAGAGACAAAAGCGUGGAGGAAGUGAGCGGCGUGUGACCAUGUGCUCAGCGCUGCCAUCCCACAACGUGUGACGCCCCGCAGAGUCUCGCGGCGCUCCGGGAAAGAAGGGAAAAAAGAACGCCGAGGGGUGUCGGCGACGGAGACGGGACGUGAGUGACGUCGCCCCCUCCUCCACCUUCUCGACUUUUAACACGGACUGGACCCCCACCAUGCUGCUGUUAAAAAGCCGGAAUCUCCACUUGGAAGCAACUUAACGGAGGACUCUUGGAGGUGUAAAGGGGACAGGACAGGACAGGACAGGACAGGACAGGACGGUGGACGGGACGUGAGGGUUCCCCCCUUCCAAGUCUGAAAGACCCGAGAAGGGUAAGUGGAAAACUGUCAUGUUGUCUGCAUGCGUUUGGGUCACAUGGCAACUCUUUUUCUCCGUGUGUGUGUGUGUGUGUGUGUGUGUGUGUGUGUGUGUGUGUGUGUGUGUGUGUGUGUGUGUGUGUGUGUGUGUGUGUGUGUGUGUGUGUGUGUGUGUGUGUGUGUGUGUGUGUGUGUGUGUGAGACCCUUUUCAUGUGAUGACGGCGGUUAACGGCAGAGGCGCCACUUCCUUCACCCCCCUCCCCCCUCGUUCAUUUGACACAGAUAGCCGCACAGUCGGCAUGAAUGAAGUGUAGAGGAGGGAGGUGUGGUGGGUGGGGGGG